CCUACGGGGGGCUGCAGUGGGGAAUAUUGCACAAUGGGCGCAAGCCUGAUGCAGCGACGCCGCGUGGGGGAUGACGGCCUUCGGGUUGUAAACCUCUUUCGCGCAUGACGAAGCCUGUGGGUGACGGUAGUGCGAGAAGAAGCACCGGCCAACUACGUGCCAGCAGCCGCGGUAAUACGUAGGGUGCGAGCGUUGUCCGGAAUUACUGGGCGUAAAGAGCUCGUAGGCGGUUUGUCGCGUCGUCUGUGAAAUUCUGCAACUCAAUUGUAGGCGUG
rnacentral:rRNA from 1 species